UGCAUGCUUUUACAGUAUGAAAAUUGGUGAUUUAUAAUAACUUAGCAAAUCGCAUAGUGAAAACAGGCGAUAAAUCAUUCAAGUUUCUGACCUAUCAGCUUUCGACGGUAUGGUAUUGGCUUACCGUGGCAGUGACGGUUAACGGGGGAUUAGGGUUCGAUUCCGGAGAGGGAGCCUGAGAAACGGCUACCACAUCUAAGGAAGGCAGCAGGCGCGCAAAUUACCCAAUUCUAACAGUUUGAGAGAGGUAGUAACAAGAAAUAACAAUACAAGGCAGUUAAAAUGCUUUGUAAUUGGAAUGAUAGAAAUUUAAACCCUUUUUAAAGUAUCAAUUGGAGGGCAAGUCUGGUGCCAGCAGCCGCGGUAAUUCCAGCUCCAAUAGCGUAUAUUAAAAUUGUUGCAGUUAAAAAGCUCGUAGUUGAAGUUCUGCUAAAAGUAACCGGUCUGCUUUGAAUAAAAGUGGUAUCUUGGUAUGUAUUUAGCAAUGAUGUCCUUUGAAGUGUUUUUUACUUUAUUGUAAUAAAGCAUAUUCAGGACUUUUACUUUGAGAAAAUUAGAGUGUUUCUAGCAGGCCAACGCUUUGAAUACUGCAGCAUG
rnacentral:rRNA from 1 species